GGCUGAUCCCUUCAGCCUGCCAGCAGCUUCAGCUUCCCUGGCAGGGUGAGGAUGUGAGCUCACUGGAUAUUUCCAGGGCACGUUCCUUCAGGUAACCUGAAUGGCUGGGACAACAGUGAGGAUGACGGUAGAGGCAACAGCAGCCACAAAGAUAGCAGCUUCCAGUAGGACAAAAUUCCAGAUUUCAGCUCGACCCGCCUACCUCUGAGAAAGUGGUUCUGGGAAGAUGCUGUGAACAUGGCAGGUGUCUUGUUAGAGUCAACUGGAUAUUAAAUCUGAAGACUGUCAGAAGAUAUAUUUGGCCCAGGCUUCUGUGGAGGGUGUCACACAGGAACUACAGCUGUCUACAGGAAGCAUCAGCCAUUCUUCUUCAGCUGGAGUUUUUGCAGCUGUAUAGCUCUGGUGCAAGGAUAUGAGAAACCCACCAGACAGGCCACAGCUGCAGCUGUUUCAAGGACGCAGCCUUGAGAGUGUAAGGUGCUGUUGAGACCAUGAGACCAUCUGGACUGAAUAUGUGAUGGAACCUAGCAUAGACAGGUCCUGUGAACAUAAUAAAAGGCAUGGAGGAGAAAAAAUGUCCCACUUGUUUAGGGGCAGCACGUUAAUGGGAUGUAGGAGAAGAAACUGAUGAAGAGGCUCUAGCCCUGGGUGCAUCUAUCCAUCACUGGGGCUGUGAAUCAUCCUUUUAUCCAGCGCAUCCUCCUGUCAAUCACUUAGCAGCCACCUUUGUUGUCGGAUGGACCCUUGAGAUAUCACAGUGCUUGUGUUCAUGUCACCCUCAUUUUACUUCCUAAUGGUCUCAAAGUGCAGGAGUAGUGAUACUGGCAAUUCAGGUGUGCCAAAGAAAAGCCUUCAAGUGCUUCCUAGAAGAGAAAAGGUGAAUUUUCUUGACUUAAAAUGGAAAGAAAAAUAUCAUAGACUGCAGUUGCUAAGAUCUAUGCUAAGAACAAAACUUUUACUCGAGAAAUUGUGAACAAAAAAGAAAUUUGUGCUGGUUUUUCUGUGGCUCCUAAAACUGCAAAAGUUAUAAUUCAGUGCAUGGCUGCACCAUCUACAGGGAUUGGAGGAUUAAUACUACAAUUUUGUAAACAAGCCAUCAACAUUAUGGAGGCUUACAGUUCUGCAAGAGCCUAGUCAAAGUCAAUUUGACUGUUGGGUUCUGAGCUUGAACGGAAGUGUACCUCAUCCAUAUCCUCCCCACAAAAGACUUUCAGAAUUGGUGGACAAGUUCCCCUUGGCUACUUAGAAAACAUCCACCAAAAUGCCUUCCUAGGUUUUAUAAGUCCACUUUGAAUUUGUUCCCGGGUUAUUAAACCUCUUUGUACUGCUAAACACUUUUUUGAUAAGCCUAACAUUAUUUUAAAAUAAAGUUAAAUAAUAAUAUAAUUUAUUAAACUAAUUAUUGAUUGUUAGACCCUUAGAUUGUUUCUAAAUUUUCUUUUUUUGAAUAACUUUGUAGUUAAUAUCUUGGCCAAAAAUUUUUGUGUCCUAUCUAUUUCCUUAUAGUACAUUCCUAGAAGUGCAAAUGUUGGGUGAAAGGGUAUGCAUAUUUUUCUCUCUUUUUUUCCCUUCUGGUUUUGAGAUGAUUGACAUAUAGCAUUCUGUAAGUUUAACGUGUACAGCAUCAUGAUUUGACUUAUUUAUAUCCUGGAAUGAUUAUCACAGCAAGAUUAAUCAACAUCAUCACUUCAUAUAGAUACAAAAUUAAAUAAAAACAAUUUUUCUUGUCAUGACCACUCUUAAUUUUCAUAUAUAACAUAACGUACAUGUUACUUAUAUGUAUCAUGUUAUACAUUAUCUUCCUAGCACUUACCUUAUAACUGAGAGUUUGUACCUUUUGACAACCCCACCUUCAUCCAGGUUCUCCUCCCUCAACUCUCUGCUUCUGGGAACCACAGAUAGAUCUCUUUUUCUGCAGUUUGCUUGUUUUUGUAAUAUAUUUGACCUACAACACUGUCUUAGUUUCUGUUGUACAACAUAGUAAUUUGAUGUUUCUAUACAUUUCAAAAUGAUUACCAUAUAUGUCUAGUUAUGACAUGUCACCAUACAAAGGUACUAUGUAUGUUCCCUACACUGUACAUACUAUGACCCAUUUAUUUUAUAACUGGAAGUUUGUACCUCUUAAUCUCCCUCACUUAUUUCUUUUCUCCCCUCAACCACUUCUCCUCUGGCAACUGCAAAAGCAAAAUGUGCUUGUAUCAAGUAUUUUUUUUUUUUUUUUCUUCUUAGGGCUGCACCUGAGGCAUAUGGAAGUUCCCAGGCUAGGGGUUGAAUCAGACCUGCAGUGGCUGGCCUAUGCCCACAGCCACAGCAACGCUGGAUCUGAGCUGCAUCUGCAACCUAUAUUGCAGCUCACAGGAAUGCUGGAUCCUUUAACCCAUUGAGCCAGGGACUGAACCUGCAUCCUCAUGGAUACUAGUCGUGUUCAUUACCACUGAGGCGCAACGGGAACUCCUGUAUCAAGGCUUUAAUGUGGUACCAAAUGUUGUACUUACUUGAGAUUCUUUUCUCAUUUGGCAACUCUGUUUGUUUAAUUUGUUAACAGAGUGUGAAACUUUUGUUUUAUUAAAAAAAUAAAUGUUCUCUCGCCAAGAAUUG
rnacentral:lncRNA from 9 species